GGCCAAGUGGUCUAGUAGUAUGAUUCUCGCUUUGCGUGCGAGAGGUCACGGUUUCGAUCACCGGCAUGCAACAUCUUGAUCU